CAGUAGCCACGGGAAUACGAGGGGGGCAAGCGUUGUUCGGAAUCAUUGGGCGUAAAGGGCGCGUAGGCGGUUUGGCAAGUUUGGUGUGAAAUCUUCGGGCUCAACUCGAAGUCUGCAUCGAAAACUGCCGGGCUUGAGUGUGGGAGAGGUGAGUGGAAUUUCCGGUGUAGCGGUGAAAUGCGUAGAUAUCGGAAGGAACACCUGUGGCGAAAGCGGCUCACUGGACCACAACUGACGCUGAGGCGCGAAAGCUAGGGGAGCAAACAGGAUUAGAUACCCGCGUAGUCCCUGUCUCUUAUAC
rnacentral:rRNA from 1 species